CGGGGAACGCGGUGCAUUCCUGACCGGCACCUGGCGAGGCUCCUGCGUCCCGUGAGGGCGGUUCCUCGAGCCUGGGGGGCUCAGAUUGCUUUGGAGACGCUGAGAGAACCUUUGCGAGAGCGCCGGUUGACGUGCGGAGUGCGGGGCUCCGGGGGACUGAGCAGCACGAGACCCCAUCCUCCCCUCCGGGUUUUCACAGUGGGCGAAGGGAGGACUCCUGAGCUCUGCCUCUUCCAGUAACACUGAGGAUUACUGUGUUUUGUGAGAGCCCGCUAGGCGCCCUAAGCAACAGAGUUCUGAGAAAUCGAGAAACAUGAUAAGGAAUUGGCUGACUAUUUUUAUCCUUUUUCCCCUGAAGCUCAUAGAGAAAUGUGAGUCAAGCGUCAGCCUCACUGUUCCUCCCGUUGUAAAGCUGGAAAACGGCAGCUCGACCAACGUCAGCAUCGCCCUGCGGUAAGUUCCCGGGCCUGGCGCUGUGCUCAGCUCCGCUCAGGCCCCGCAGCUGGGCCGGGGCUGACCCCUGGCUCAGUCUGUU
rnacentral:sRNA from 1 species